rnacentral:misc_RNA from 1 species
GAUGAAGAACGUAGCGAAAUGCGAUAAGUAAUGUGAAUUGCAGAAUUCAGUGAAUCAUCGAAUCUUUGAACGCACAUUGCGCCCCUUGGUAUUCCGAGGGGCAUGCCUGUUCGAGCGUCAUUUCAACCCUCAAGCACAGCUUGGUCUUGGGCUUCGCCGCUAACCCGGCGGGUCUUAAAAUCAGUGGCGGUGCCGUCGGGCCCUGAGCGCAAUAAUCUCUCUCGCUAUAGGGUCCCGGCGGAUGCUGGCCAGUAACCCCCAAUUUUCUAUGGUUGACCUCGGAUCAGGUAGGGAUACCCGCUGAACUUAAGCAUAUCAAUAAGCGGAGGA